GGGAGCAUAGCUCAGAUGGUAGAGUGAUCGCUUAGCCUGCAAGAGGUUCGGGGAUCAAUACCCCGCGCCUCCA